UCCGGUAGUGCCCCUCCCUCCACACGUUCCUUCCUUCGCAUGGCUGACCACCACAGAGACAGGGGUGUCCUAGGCGGCGGCGGCGCCUUCGGCGACCGCAGUGGCCAUGGAGGCUACGGCGGCGACCACCACGAGCAGCACCAGCAGAAGCAGCCCGCGCUGAUGUGCGCCCUCAAGGCCGCGACGGCGGCCACGGCCGCCGGGUCGAUGCUGCUGCUAUCCGGGCUGAUCCUGGCAGGCACCGUCAUCGCGCUCACCGUGGCCACUCCCGUGCUGGUCAUCUUCAGCCCGGUGCUGGUGCCGGCGGCCAUCGCGCUGGCGCUCAUGUCCGCCGGCUUCGUGACGUCCGGCGGGCUGGGCGUGGCGGCGCUCUCCGUGUUCUCGUGGAUGUACAAGUACCUCACCGGCAAGCACCCGCCGGGCGCCGACCAGCUGGACCACGCCAAGGCGCGGCUCGCGUCCAAGGCCCGCGACAUCAAGGACGCCGCGCAGACCCGCAUCGACCAGGCGCAGGGGGCUUGAAGAUGAGGUGCGUGCCCCGACGCGCGGCCGAUGCGUGGGUGAUGAACGAUAUAGCGUACGAUUGCUGAUCCGUGCGCGCGUUUGAUCGCCGCCGUGCCCGCCGAGCGAGCAAGUCGACGACGUUUACCACCUGUUGUGCUAUCCGACCGAGUGCGUGUUUAGACUUUUGUUGUGAACUAGUUGUUCUCGUCCUAGUACUCUAGCAGUAUGUUUCCGUGGUCGAAGUCGGGAGAGGGUCUGGAUGCUGGAUGUAUGGUGUGUGCUUGUGGAUGUCUCUGCGUUUAUGAUGAAUAAAUUGCCAAGUUAGGGCGAAGUGUGCAACUGUUCUUGUGGAUGUCUCUUAUCUCUUCUGAAAUGCAACUUGCAGAAGAGACUAGGCUCUUGUGUUUUUCCACAUACGACUCCAAAAUCAACCUA
rnacentral:lncRNA from 1 species